rnacentral:rRNA from 1 species
AUUGAACGCUGGCGGCAUGCCUUACACAUGCAAGUCGAACGGCAGCAUGAUCUAGCUUGCCAGAUUGAUGGCGAGUGGCGAACGGGUGAGUAAUACAUCGGAACGUGCCCUGUAGUGGGGGAUAACUAGUCGAAAGAUUAGCUAAUACCGCAUACGACCUGAGGGUGAAAGUGGGGGACCGCAAGGCCUCAUGCUAUAGGAGCGGCCGAUGUCUGAUUAGCUAGUUGGUGAGGUAAAGGCUCACCAAGGCGACGAUCAGUAGCUGGUCUGAGAUGACGAUCAGCCACACGGGGACUGAGACACGGCCCAGACUCCUACGGGAGGCAGCAGUGGGGAAUGUUGGACAAUGGGGGCAACCCUGAUCCAGCAAUGCCGCGUGUGUGAAGAAGGCCUUCGGGUUGUAAAGCACUUUUGUCCGGAAAGAAAUCGCACUUACUAAUAUUAGGUGUGGGUGACGGUACCGGAAGAAUAAGGACCGGCUAACUACGUGCCAGCCGCCGCAGUAAAAC